rnacentral:rRNA from 1 species
UACGUAGGGGGCAAGCGUUGUCCGGAUUUAUUGGGCGUAAAGAGCGUGUAGGCGGCCAUGUAGGUCCGUUGUGAAAACUCGAGGCUCAACCUCGAGACGCCGAUGGAAACAUGUGGCUAGAGUCCGGAAGAGGAGAGUGGAAUUCCUGGUGUAGCGGUGAAAUGCGCAGAUAUCAGGAAGAACACCCGUGGCUAAGGCGGCUCUCUAGUACGGUACUGACGCUGAGACGCGAAAGCGUGGGGGAGCGAACAGG